rnacentral:lncRNA from 1 species
UUUAGAUAUGUUGCUGCACUAGACUUUUCACCUUUGAUGGGAGUUCCAUCUACAGUACAGAUUGCUCUUGGAAGAGAAAUGAAUUGCCUAAGUUCUGUUACAGGUUUGUUUGUUUCUGUUGAAAAAGCCAGUUGUUUUCUUAAACAAGUGAUGACUGUAUUAUUAUCUUGAAUUUCUUUUUUCUGUUGACCUAAAGUUAUUUUUGGUGUUGAAAAGGUUUUCAAAUUUCUCUUCUUUCUUGAAACUGUAUUUGUAUUUUGAUUUAGAAUAAUGCAUUUGGUGUAAUUUUCAAAAUCAUCUUCUCCGUAAUGUCUGUAAUUCAAUAAGUCUGAAGCUGCGUCUCUUGGGGCAAUACUUCCGGAGAAUAUAUGAUGUAGUUUAGUAUUUGUGAUAGGUUUAAAGACAGAGGAGUUUUUAAAAAGAUUCAUAUAUUCCUCAAUAUUUUUAUUGCCAUGUAUAAUUGGACUAUCAUUGUCUUCACAGUUGCCAUGUAGUUUUGAUUGUUUUCGGAUAUUGUUUAAAACUUCGGCUCUGAAAGGGAGAAAAAGACAUAAGGAUGCUAGGGACUGCUUGUUAUAAGACGUCAUAGAGUUUUUGAUUUGUAAAUUUAUUUGCAUCUCGUGUGAUUCGUCAAUGGCGACACUGUUGCAUGGACUACCUGUAAUUGAAACUGCAAAGGCACCUUCAGCAAAAUAAUCUAAUAUUUCUGUUGGAAAAUAUUUUAGAUCAGUGAGAUGAUAUGGAACUAAUUUUAAGUACAUAGGUCUGUCAAAUGCAUGAAACAAUGGAGCAAUUUUUUUAAGUGAAGCUACUCUUAGGUUCCAGUUUCUUGAUCUGAUUGCUAUGUAAAGUGAAAAAUAAGACAAAAAAUCAGUGUGUAUAAAGUCAUCCCAAAAUUUAAAUGUUUCAUCUUUUCUUUUUAGGAAGCGCCAUUCAUUAAACUGUGGACUGGUUUCAGAAACUAAAGCUGUCAACUGUGAUAUAGUCAAAAGAUCUGUUGAAGGUGAACCUGUGGAGGAAUAAAACUGUGAUGAUUUUGAAAACACGGA